ACUGUCUCCUUUUUUCACGCUCCAUUCUCGCCCUUCCUACGUCGGCGCAUCUUUCCGUAUGAUCUUGCAUCCAAUUAUUGUACGUAAGGUCAUGAAAAGUUUGAUUCGAUUAAUACGAAAAUGAACGAGAAAGAACCUUGGUUUCAGAGGAUCGAUAAUUCGACGGAGAGGAUCGUUUUUUUUAAUGUUUCACCCCGUGCAAAAUGUGUACCAUGUAGGUUCCACAUGUUAAUAAUGAUGAGCAAUUAUACCACUGCGAUUUGUCAUCUGUCUUGAUAUUUUUAUUACUUCAAUACGUAAAUAUUAAACCAUAUUUUUAUCCAUACCCUAUCUCAAUGAUUUUAUUGAUAUAGUAUACACAUACUAAAAUAAUGGAUUGAACAGCGUUUGGGAAUGAGAUAAGACUAAAACGGCACAUGUUUUAAGAAGAGUUUAUGAAGAACAUCCGUGUGAAACAGAAUUGUUCGCUUUGUGUCAAAUAUACUAGAAAAAUCAGCAUCUAAAA